CCUGGCUCUGUUUUCUUUCCCACACCAGGCUUUCCCGCAGAUGGAAAACCUUUUUGGAUUUAAUAAAAACUGGAAUGUCAAGAGAGGAGUCAUCUCAAUUGGCAAGAUCAAUCAUUUUGUGUUUAAUUUCAUCAACUCCCUCCAUCUUCAUCCUUGCUUCUACUAAGGAAACACUUUAUUUGAAAAGCUUCAUCUUUUAGUUAGGAGUAGAUGACCAUGGGUGGUCCCAAAGGCUAGACAAAACCUAAGUCGCAAGAUGGAGAUGGGGUUGAAAGGGGG
rnacentral:lncRNA from 1 species